AACGCUAGCUACAGGCUUAACACAUGCAAGUCGAGGGGCAGCAUUAGGUAGCAAUACUGAGAUGGCGACCGGCGCACGGGUGCGUAACGCGUAUCCAACCUUCCCGUUACUCUUGGAUAGCCUUCCGAAAGGGAGAUUAAUACAGGAUGGUAUUCAAAUUCCGCAUGUUAUUUGAAUUAAAGAUUUAUCGGUAACGGAUGGGGAUGCGUGACAUUAGAUAGUAGGCGGGGUAACGGCCCACCUAGUCUACGAUGUCUAGGGGUUCUGAGAGGAAGGUCCCCCACACUGGAACUGAGACACGGUCCAGACUCCUACGGGAGGCAGCAGUGAGGAAUAUUGGUCAAUGGCCGGAAGGCUGAACCAGCCAAGUAGCGUGAAGGAUGAAGGUUCUAUGGAUUGUAAACUUCUUUUAUACGGGAAUAAAACCACCUACGUGUAGGUGCUUGUAUGUACCGUAUGAAUAAGCAUCGGCUAACUCCGUGCCAGCAGCCGCGGUAAUACGGAGGAUGCGAGCGUUAUCCGGAUUUAUUGGGUUUAAAGGGAGCGUAGACGGGAGAUUAAGUCAGUUGUGAAAGGCUGCGGCUCAACCGCAGCACUGCAGUUGAUACUGGUUUCCUUGAGUGCGGUUGAGGUGUAUGGAAUUCGUGGUGUAGCGGUGAAAUGCUUAGAUAUCACGAAGAACUCCGAUUGCGAAGGCAGUACACUAAGCCGUAACUGACGUUGAGGCUCGAAAGUGUGGGUAUCAAACAGGAUUAGAUACCCUGGUAGUCCACACGGUAAACGAUGAAUACUCGCUGUUGGCGAUAUAAUGUCAGCGGCCAAGCGAAAGCAUUAAGUAUUCCACCUGGGGAGUACGCCGGCAACGGUGAAACUCAAAGGAAUUGACGGGGGCCCGCACAAGCGGAGGAACAUGUGGUUUAAUUCGAUGAUACGCGAGGAACCUUACCCGGGCUUAAAUUGCAGAGGACAGGUCUAGAGAUAGACUCUUNUUCGGACCUCUGUGAAGGUGCUGCAUGGUUGUCGUCAGCUCGUGCCGUGAGGUGUCGGCUUAAGUGC
rnacentral:rRNA from 1 species